rnacentral:tRNA from 1 species
GUGGGUAGAGCUCAGUGGUAGAGUGUGUGCUUGGCAUGCACGAGGUUCUGGGUUCUGGUUCAAUCCCCAGUACAUCCU